UUGAAAGGGAAACGAUUGAAGUCAGUCGUACCAGCGGGAAAUCAACCUUUCGAGUGGGGUUUUGGAGUUUUUUGAAGAGUGUCAAAACCUUUAUUUCAAAAUAUUCGCUCUUUUGGUGUACUUUCUCGUGGGUAGGUUAACAUCGAUUUUGAUCAUCAUAAAAAGAUUGGAGGAAUGUAGCUUCGAUCUUGUAUUGAAGUGUUAUAGCCUUUGGUAAAUGUGAUGAUUAGGAUCGAGGAUUGCAACGAAUACCCUUUUGGGCUAUCCGCCUGAUCUCUGAUACGUGGCCUUGGCAUCGAAAGCUUGCUUAUGGUAUUAAGGUAUUACGGUCAAAAGGUUAGAACGGAUUACAUUCGUUAAGGAUGUUGACGUA
rnacentral:rRNA from 1 species